ACAUCGGCAACUGGUGGUGGGCACGCUUCGCGCGGCCUUGACCAGUCAUGUCCAUCGACAAGACGACACAAAGCCGCCCGAGAACCGAGGCGGCUUUUUU
rnacentral:ncRNA from 1 species